rnacentral:rRNA from 1 species
GUAGGGCGGGACACGUGGUAUCCUGUCUGAAUAUGGGGGGACCAUCCUCCAAGGCUAAAUACUCCUGACUGACCGAUAGUGAACCAGUACCGUGAGGGAAAGGCGAAAAGAACCCCGGCGAGGGGAGUGAAAAAGAACCUGAAACCGUGUACGUACAAGCAGUGGGAGCCUCUUUAUGGGGUGACUGCGUACCUUUUGUAUAAUGGGUCAGCGACUUAUAUUCUGUAGCAAGGUUAACCGAAUAGGGGAGCCGAAGGGAAACCGAGUCUUAACUGGGCGUUAAGUUGCAGGGUAUAGACCCGAAACCCGGUGAUCUAGCCAUGGGCAGGUUGAAGGUUGGGUAACACUAACUGGAGGACCGAACCGACUAAUGUUGAAAAAUUAGCGGAUGACUUGUGGCUGGGGGUGAAAGGCCAAUCAAACCGGGAGAUAGCUGGUUCUCCCCGAAAGCUAUUUAGGUAGCGCCUCGUGAAUUCAUCUCCGGGGGUAGAGCACUGUUUCG